UUUUUUUUUUUUUUUUUUUUUUUAAUGACCUUAUUCUGAUGGUCCGAUUGCGACAAAGCCUGAGCUCUUGCAGAUAAGGGACACCUCAUCUGUUUAACUGGUGAUGGGAGCUGAUGAAGUCUGGGGUAGUCCGGAGAGGAGCAAUUCAAGGAAUGAAUAGGAGUUUCCAGAUUGGACAAGUCCCAGCAGGGGCGAAGGCCAGGGUUCACACAUGACUAAGAGAGGAAGGCUUCCUGGAGGAGGUGAUUCUUCAGGCAGCUGCUAGAGCACAAACAGGCAGGUUCCCAGGAGGAUUUACCAAGUGCAAGAGGGGCCUGGAGGCAGGGCUGUGAUGAGCAGACAGAAGAGGCUUUCAGGGAGAGCUGGGGUUGCAUCUUAUUCAUUUUUAUAGGCUUCACAACCAGACGGAGCCAAAACAUCAGGAAGGUAAGAACCCCCAUUCUUGGGGCCUCUUCCAUCCUGAGAUGGACAAUUGAGAAGGAGCAAUGUAUACCACUCUGGUGGCGGAUGUUGCUUGAAGCAGAGAGGAGAAGGAGGUAUCUGGAAAGAUCUCUAUAGCACUGUCUCAAUUGUGUUGUGAACCUAAUCCAUUUUGAAAAAAUAAACAAGGUCUUAAAAUACACACACACACAGCAACAUCAUUAGUCAUCAGGGAAAUACAAAUUGAAGCCAUAAUAAAAUACUCCCACAUACCUGUUGGAAGGGCAAAUAAUGAAAAUAUAAUAAUAAUAAAAGACAACCCUAGAUGGUAGAGCAACUGGAACUCUCCCUGAAGCUGCAAGAAUGCAACCACAAUACACAGACACUUUGGAAGUGAACUUGGCAGGUUCUACAAAGUUAAACAUAUACGAACCACACAGUGAGCAAUCUCUUCCUGGGCAUUUACCCAAGAGAAAUAAAAGCAUAUGUUCACACAAAAACCUGUAUGCAAAUGUUUACAGUAACUUUAUUCAUAAUUUCCUCAAACUGGAAGCCAUCCAAUGGCCUUCAGUUGAUGAAUGAAUAGACCAUCUGUUGCCCUUCCAUUCAGGAGAAUCCUACUCACCAAGAAAAAGGAACACAGCGCGGGUAAAGCUCAAAGCAUUAUUCGAAACAGAAGCAGCCCCACUCAAAAUGCUACCUACAUGUGGCUCCGUUUUUAUGACCUAGAAAAGGCAAAUGAAGGGCCCAGCGGGAGGGGAUGGAGCUGACCAUCAAGGGGCAGGGGGAUGUUUGAGGAGGUGAAGGGACUCUGCUCAGACUUGCGGUGCUGGUUAGAAAAUGGUAUGAUUUGGGAAUUCCCUGGUGGCUCAGGGGGUUAAGGAUCUGGCAUUGUCAGUGCUGCGGCUCAGGUCCCAGCUGAGCUGUAGGUUGGAUCCCUGGCCCGGGGAACUUCCACAAGCAGCAGGUGCAGACAAACAAACCCCAACUCCCCAAAUGGUAUGAUUUCUUGAAUCUCCUAGAAUGGUUCCAUCUUAAAAGGGUGCAUUUGCGCUAUGUAAAUUACACCAGAUUUUUUUUUUUUCAUACUCAGAAUGCAAAUAACGGUGAGAGACAGCACUGGGCUAAAAGCCAAUGGCAUUAAAAUGAGGUCAAUUGGCCAACAAUUGCCAGGGGCUGGUGUUCUGACCCUUGCUGAUUUUGGAGAUCAAAUGUUAAGCACAGUGGAGCACCCAGGGCUUAAGAAGGGAAGAAAGGCCGUUGAGGGACCAGCUGGGGGAGCAUCCCCUGAAGGCGCAGGCCCGCUCCCCUCCAGCCCCUCCAGGCACACUUGAAUAAGCCAUUCAUUUGCUAAUGAUUCUUAGGGUGCAACUUCCCGGGAGCACUGGUGCCCAGCCCCCAGCCCCACUUACUUCGGCUGCUCAAUAAGUUCGUUUCCUCGAUUUGCCAAAAAAAAUCACCUGAGACCCAAGUCACACAUCACAGGUAUAUGGAGCCCUGCAGCUAAGUCCUGCUUAAGCGAAAAGCCAGAUGCAACCAAGUCCUAAAGCUCUUUCCCCUGGUGUUUUGCACACGGGGAGGGGGGCACGUGGCGAGAGAAGGCGCGACCCCACGUCUGAAAUCUGGGGCUCGGGUCCGGGACGCCUCACCGAGCGGCACCGUCCCUUUGCGUCUUAUGGGCAAGCCUCAGUUUCACCACCCGUCACAUGGAAAAGGUCCUUUGGCUCAAGAAAGCACUUUCUGCAUUUGUCCGCAAUUUGUAAUCUAAACAGUUUCUGCCGGGAAGCACCGACCAGGACGUGAAUCCCCUUCAGGCGUGCCCUGUCCCCCCCCUUCGGUGGCUCAGACGCUUUGUUCCCCCGUUUUUACAUCUGUGCUGAGAUAGGCGCCUCCCCCGGAGGGUCCUGUCCCCUCUAAGACAGCCCCUCACAAUGGCUUCGAUGAAAGCGAUAAGCAAAGAGGCCAGAGGGUCUCCAGAAAGAAAGGGAGCUUGUAGCUUUUCAAGUUCAAUGAGGCUUAGAGGUUGGAGGGCUCUCCACAUAAAGGCCUGUUUAAAAGAGCGCCCAGGACUCAAAGCCGGGGGCCUCCCCAGACCCCUGACCACUUUCAGCCAGUCCGAGGGAACGCCUCCUGCUCCCCUCUCCAUCACAAUUCCACCCUCAAGCCUGUAUCCCCAUCGGUAAGGACCCAAAUGGAUUACCUGGAAGGUCUGACUGCAGUCAGCCCUGGGAACCCCAGGGUGGCAGGUGCAACCCUCUCCUCCACCCCAGCUCAGGGACUUGAUAUAUGCAAAUACAGGGGCCACAGCCGGGGACAAUGCAGCCUCCUUAAUCCUCCUGGGCAAGGGGUGGGGGUGGAGGGGUUGCCUCCUCCUCGACCCCCACCCUCCCAUCCCCCACCGAGGGAGGCUGCCGAUCCGAGCUCUUCCUGCACCAGCCCAACUGCCUUCAAAGGCAGCCCAGAGGGAGCUCCCAGCUCGGCUUGGCAGGGAUGCCUGGGAGGCUCAACCCGGGGCUGUGAGGGCUGCAAGGGGACCAUCGGGGCUCCUGCUGCUUGGUGAAAACAGGAACAAGCCCUGGAGGAGGCAGAGGGGGUGGUUGGUGGUUGUCAAGGUCUGAAUAAGCUGUGCAGGCCUCAGCUUCCAAGAGGCACUUAUUUAUGACGUGUUCCCCCUCAGCUGGGGCUUGACAACAAAACCCCAGCUCUUACCCAACUUGGGCCUGAGCUCUGGGGCCAGUCACUCUCCCCUGGGAGACGGAGGCAGCCUCUGUCCUCUGAGGGUCCAAAGAAAAAUGGAGGUGGAUCCUGUCGGUAAGGUUUGAAUUAAGUCUCCGGCCUCACCGAGGGGACCAGGCUUUCGUCCCACACGCGGUAGCAGAAACCCGCUAUUCUGGGGGUUUACAUGAGCCCCUUCAUUCACUAAACUGUGUGGGCUGCCGCUCCGCAAGGGGCUGGAGGAUAAAGAUGGGAAAUGCCUGGUCCCCAUACCUGCCAAAGGGCUUUGCCCGCCCACUCCUCUCAUGCCAAGGGCAUACCUUCUGCUCCAGGGAAGGAAAAAGGGGAUGCCGCCUGCAAGUGACUCAGGAACGUUUACAGGAGGGUCUCACAUCUUUUCGCCAGUACUUCCUGUGUUUUCUCCUUCCUUCAGAUGCCUUCGGAGAGUUUCCUUUCCCCAAACUCCCAGGAUCCCUGUUGUUUGAGGUCUUCCACGACGGGACCUCGGAGGUGACGCAUGGUUACUUUCGGCAGCAUCCUCCAGGUGACACAGGUCAGCUCCGAGUCGACGACGUGCACGGAUCCUGGAGGGGAGGGAUGUUUAUCUCGGUUUAAAGAGGUUCACGCUGGACUCUUUCCGGGGUCUCUGCCAAGCCCAGUACUCCGGGGGGCAGAUAACGCGGGUGAAGCUCACGUGCUCGUAGGCGGCUGGUUUUAAUGACGUCAUGCUCCUCGGCUCUGAGCAAAGGGCACGCGGGGAUGCCUGAGCGGAGGGGGAUGAGGCUCGUGGUCCCCUCGUGUCGGACCGCAAAAGAUGCCCCUAGGCUUACUCUAAGCCGACGCCAUCCUGACUGCGGCACUGCCUGACUCACCUUUCAGGAUGGACCUUGCGGGCCUGAGCUCGCGGAAGAUUCCAGCACAGCGGGCUUGUCUUCUCUGUGGCUGCUGGGACGUCUCCAAGCCGCUCGCAUACCAGUGUUAUGGGCAGGGAAAUGUCAUGAGGGGGCAGCCUGACAAUGUGGCAUUGUCCUGUGGCAUUUAUGACCAGGUUUCAACAAACGACCCUUUAUCUCAUUUGUUUUUCCCUGGGUCGUUUGAUCCGCCUCAGCGCGGGCCCACGGGGGGGUGUUUGCAAACACCUGCUUUCAGCUUGCUUUUCUGUCGUGCCACCCACCUUUCUCGGUACAUCUUUUCCACUCCUGAUUGGCACUGUCCUGGCAGCGUCCUGCGGAUGGAAUGUUGUUUUAGGGGGAGUCCCGGGGGGUUGGCCGUGGUCGUCCUUGUGGCAGCUGUGAUUUGUGGCAGAGAAUGUUCCAGAGCUGAAUUUGCCCCCGCCCAACUCCUGCUGCAGCUCAGCAUGGGCUAUGCAAUAAUGUUGUAAAAAUAUGGAGAAAGGCGAAGAGGGCGUUUAUUGUAUGUCAGCCAGGGUUAAGGAGGAAAAAAAUCUUUCAAAAGUUACAAAAACAUUCUUAAGGAAAUACAUCAUUGAAUCGCUGUGAUUUGUCAGAAAACCAGGGUUCAUAUCCUCAUAUCUUCCUGUCUGUGUCUUAGGCAGGGAUUCAAAGUCUCUUUUGUUUUGUCAUCUGUUAAGUGGAUAUGAAUAUCUUUAUUUGCCUUACAAGGUUGCUGUGAGGAUGAGACGCGAAGGUUAUAAUUAUGAAAAAGUGCUUUCAAAUGUAGUUGCAGUUGCAGAGAAAGAGGUCAAAGAGCAGGAACACGGCUUUGCAAUCAGCCAGCUCUGGAUUUAAAUUUAGUUUCUGCAAGAUACCUACACCCUAGUGUUUGCAGCAGUGCUAUUUACAGUUGCCAGGAUGUGGAAGCAACCUAAAUAUUCACUGACAGAUAUGGAUCAGUAAGAUAUGGUAUAUAUAAAAUGGAAUACUACUCAACCAUGAAAAAGAAAUAAUGCCAUUUGUAGCAACAUGGGUGGACCUAGAGAUGACCACAGGUAGUGUUGUAACGCAGAUAGAGAAAGACAAAUAUCAUAUCAUUUACGUGUGGAAUCCAAAAUAUGACACCAGUGAACUUACCUAUGAAACAGAAAUCAUAGACAUAGAAAACAAACUUUUAGUUACCAAAGGGGAAGCGGAUGAAGGAAGGAGAAUUAAGGAGUUUGGAUUAGCAAUACAAACUAUGUAUAAAAUAAAUAAACAAGGACCUACUGUAUAGUACAGGGAACUAUAUAUAAUAUCCUGUAGUAAACCAUCACGGAAAAGAAUAUGAAAAAGAAUAUUAUAUAUAUNNNNNNNNNNNNNNNNNNNNNNAUAUCUGAAUCACUUUCCUACACACCAGAAACUAACACGACACUGUAAAUUAACUAUACUUCCAUAGAAAAAUAAAAUUAAAAACAUUUAGUCUCUGCAAUUUAGCUGUGACUUCGUUCCACGCUUCUCAAACUGUAGUGUGUACCCAGAUCCCCUGCGGGUUAGGUUAGGAUGCAGAUUCUGAUUCGGCAGUUCUGGGGGAGGCCCAGGGUUCUGCAUUUCCUGGUGAUAACUCGGCUGCUGGCCCUCCCCUGCAGGGACGAGGAGUUAGCCUCCCUAAGCCAGGGCUUCUCAGUUCUGGUCACCCAUGGGAACCCCCUGGGGGAUGUAUAAAGUUCCCAUGCCUAGAUUACAUCUCAGAUCAAUUAAAUCAAAAUCUCUGAGGAUGGAACACGCCAUCAGCAGGCUUGUGCUAGAGUUGGUUUAGUAACCUGCAAAAUAGCAAAAGAAUCAUCUUCCCCUUAUACGCCUGAGAUUCAGCAUUUUAAGCAUCUUCACGCAAUGUUGGUGUCAUAAAAACUAUCUAGAAUUUACUGGUAGGAAUGCCCUUGUGUGCAGUGGGUUAAGGAUCUGGCGUUGUCAUUGAUGCAGCUCAGGUUGCUGCUGUGGCUCGGGUGUGAACCCCUGGCCCAGGAACUUCCACAUGCUGGGGGGUGCGGCCAAAAAGAACCCAGAAUUUAUAGAUACCAUAGUGGGUUUGAAUUUACAGAGGACCGACAUAUAUCAUCUCACUUAAUUCUCAAAGACAAGCCCCAGGAAAUGGUUCCACUUUCCAGGCUCCGAGGUGGUUUAGCUGAGACUUGAACUCCGUCUUCCAGUGAACAAUUCUGGGACCACACAGAGUGGUACUAACUUCAGGUAUUGCCUACGAACCUCUUCCUUGGGAUGUCAAGUUGCCUCCCUGGAGUAUGAUCACCGCAGAGAUAGCCGCCUGUGACCGAAUUUCUACCACUUCUUGCGGCUCUGAAUCCAGCGUAGCAAGUCCUGAGCCACAGGUGGAAGUGCCUUCCUUCCUUCUCUAAAGGGAAGAGGACGGCCUGAACACACCCCCGUGGACGCUCUGUCUACCCAGCCUGCUCCAGGACUUGAUCUCACUCUAGUUCAGAAAGAAGGGGUGGCAGCGCAGGGCUUGGUGGUGGAUGAAACAAAGAGAAAUGGGCCUUUUGAGGCUCAAGGCAUCCCUUUUGCUCCUGAGUUUUAAAGUGGGUACAUCACAUUUGGGAUUUCCAGGGCACCCCUGGGGUCCCUCUGACCUGCUCCUUCUCCCUCUUUGAGGAUGAAGAUGAGUUAGAGAAAAGAGGAACCAGUGCAAAGUCCCUUUAAAAAAAAAAAAAAACCUAUCUUUACUAGAGCUCUGAAAAAAAAAAAUUUUUUUUUUGGGGGGGUGGAAUUUCUAAAAGGGUAUGUGGUCUUUGUUUUUUCCAGGGCUGAGGUUAGCUAGGGAACUGCAGGUGACGGGCAGGGCCGAUGCUGUACAAAUUAUGAAGGCAGCCUACUGGGAUGGAAUCCAUUCAGCUCAAGCAGGGUGUUUAAAAACGCCUGCACGUUGCAUGCAAAGAGCUCGUCAGACCCCAGCAGAGGCUGGCCUGGCCCACUUGGAGAGGCUCUCAGGGGAUUUAAGGAUUGUACCCUGGAAUGCUCCCCUUUCCUGUUUCCAUUCUGGUGAUUGAGCAAAAUGGCUUCGGCGGGGAAAAAAAAACCCUUCUGUUUGGCGACCGCACCGAGCAAUGGAUCAAAAAGAGUGUUUUAGAUGUAAUCGGUGCAUUUUUAGAAUUGAUGAAGACAAAAAGAGUUCUUUAUUUUGGAAAAAAAAAAA
rnacentral:lncRNA from 1 species